rnacentral:rRNA from 1 species
UACGAAGGGGGCGAGCGUUGUUCGGAAUUACUGGGCGUAAAGGGCGCGUAGGCGGCGAACCACGUCAGAUGUGAAAGUCCUGGGCUUAACCUGGGGACUGCAUUUGAUACUGGUUUGCUUGAAUUCGGGAGAGGAUAGCGGAAUUCCCAGUGUAGAGGUGAAAUUCGUAGAUAUUGGGAAGAACACCGGUGGCGAAGGCGGCUAUCUGGACCGACAUUGACGCUGAGGCGCGAAAGCGUGGGGAGCAAACAGG